rnacentral:piRNA from 1 species
UCCAAUUUAUAGCCUGUUGGUCAGAGGUAC